GGGCUCUUAGCUCAGCUGGUUAGAGCACCUGACUCAUAAUCAGGUGGUCGCUGGUUCAAGCCCAGCAGGGCCCA
rnacentral:tRNA from 1 species